rnacentral:lncRNA from 1 species
GUUCUGUCACCCAGGCUGGAGUGCAGUGGUGUGAAUAUGGUUUACUGAGGCCUCAAUCUCCUGGGUUCAAGUUAUCUUCAUAUCUCAGCCUUCUGAGUAGCUGGGGCUACAGGAAAUACUUGUUGAGCCCCUACAAGAUGCUGGAUGCUGUUCUAAACAGAGGAUAUAGUGGUAACCACAAGGCUACAGUCUAUUGGGGAAGGCAGCCAACAAAUGCUUUCACUCAUUCGACAUUUAUUGAACAACAACAAUGUGCCAGACACUGUCCUAGAUUCUGGGGGUAUAAUAAUGAACAAGAUAAAGC